GGGUACGGUAAAUAUGGGGUACGGUACAUAUGGGGUACGGUACAUAUGGGGUAAGGUACAUAUGGGGUAAGGUACAUAUGGGGUGAGGUACCUAUGGAGUGAGGUACAUAUGGGGAAAGGUACAUAUGGGGCGAGGUACAUAUGGGGUGAGGUACAUAUGGGUACGGUACAUAUGGGGUAAGGUACAUAUGGGGUAAGGUACAUAUGGGGUGAGGUACAUAUGGGGUAAGGUACAUAUGGGGUGAGGUACAUAUGGGGUGAGGUACAUAUGGGGUAAGGUACAUAUGGAGUACGGUACAUAUGGGGUAAGUUACAUAUGGGGUAAGGUACAUAUGGGGUAAGGUACAUAUGGGGUAAGGUACAUAGGCCUCAAGCAGACAUGUAUUGUAUUGCUUUUACAGUGACUUCUGUGAACUGUCUAGGAAAGAUGGGAAACCAUAAACUCAAAGUGACAAAUUAAAAUGACAUAUACUGAAUAUUGAAGGACAUACAGGACUGCCUUCGAGCUCCUGUCAAAAUGGACACAAAACCUACUAUUACAAUUUAGCUUAAAACAAAUUAAAUAAAAAAGAUCAUCAUUAAACCAAAAGCGAUGCUGAUGAACAAUAAAUAGCCUACAAGUGAGGUUAAUGCAUUAAUAGAUUAUAGUUUUAUUACAAUAUUAUAUUGUCUUUUUUUUGUACCUAUUAUCAAAUCACUUGACAAUCACUUCAUAUACAGACAGGAGUCCUCUCUCAUCUUGGCCUCUUACACUACGAAAUAACAUGUCUUCAUUUUGUUAGAAUUGGCAAAUAGUCAUAACUUUACACACAAACAUCUCAAGAGGUACAUAUGGGGUACGGUACAUAUGGGGUACGGUACAUAGUAGAGCUGAGCAAAAAUCACCAACAACAAAAAAGAUCAAAGAGCCCUGACUAGUUCCAUGCAGGCUGGCAUAGAGAUAGGUCAAUCAUAUCUGUAUCUACAGUGCCAACUGCCAAGUUUGCACUUAAGCAAGAAGGAACAGAUACUGUAGAAGGGUUGGAAGGAAUUGUGGGAGGUGUAGUCUUGCUGUGGACGGCAUUCACCUCAAGUUACCUCAAUACAGCAACAGAUUUCUCAGUCAAUAUGUAACGCCAUCACCAGCAACAUGAUAGCAGUAAAAUGUGAACUGAAACGAUCACUAUAUAAAUAUAAGACAAUUGCUGCCCCUUGCAGAACACAAAAUGUUUUGCAAUGUUUCUCCAAAAUGAUCACGAUCAACCAGCAGGUGAAGAUGUUUACGUUACCUUGAAACUGAUACCAAUUCUCUCUGAUUAAUAAUUGACUCUAGUCCAUCGUUUUUCAUGUUUACUGUUGCGUUCCAUUAAACUGACUUCAUGGAGGCGGGCCUGGGCAAGACAUAGACAUAGAUCUGCAUUUUCCAGCAGCAUAAAGAGGAAGGACAAAACAAAAGAAACUGCUGCGGUAGCACUGUUGAAGCAACAGGCUGGCUGUUGGUAACAAGGUUGGUUUAAUGUUACAAUAAGUUCCAGAUAUUACACAAAGUCAAAUCAAAGGAUGACUUCAAAAUGGCACCCUAUUCCUUCUAGUCAAAAGUAAUGUACUAUUUAGCAUAACAUUUCUUCUCAUACACAUUGUAGCAGAAUGAAAGCCCAGGGAGGACAGUGGCAGGCACAGCAGUAUCCAUUGAAACCUGAUGAUCAACAAAUCUUUGGUCAAAUGAAACAUGUUUUAUUGCACUGUACAGUCUUGCGAAACCUCAGAGGCGAAAUUAGUUUCACUUCAUCUUUUUGAAAAAGUGCUGUGUACACUCGUGAACAAUGUUCCCUCUAAACUGCGCAUGUGCAGCUCCCCGGGACUGAUAAGCAGAAGAAAUAUCAGCCCUGUGCGAGUCUGAACUUUACUCAACUUUCUAGAGUUUUCCCAGUUAGUUAACACUAUCAGUGUUUCCCUUUACUGUGGGAAUUGUGAUCGAAUGAACGCAAUAUCAGCCACUUUCAAUACAACAUACCAAAACAAAACAAACAGUGCAAUACUUACUAUGCAAAACUAAAUAUAUAAAAGAUUUUGUUGUAGGCAGAACGCAUCAGAGUAGGAUUCUAUUGCAUUGACAGGCAGACUUGUACUCUACACAGACCAGUGUGCCAUAACCAAUCAGAGCUGCAGUAGGCCUAUAUACAAAUAGACCAUUGUCAUAUAUAGAUCUGUGCCAUUCACUUUGAACUGGACUGCUUUUACAGCAUGAGCGGUUGUGAGUAGAUCAAAGCAAGAACUAUAUGUAGCGACUUGUGCACAUUUGUACAUUUGUUCACUAGUUAGUGAGUUAUUAGCCCAGUUAUUGAUAAUUUGUAGUCAGAAAUGGGGGGUGAUUGCUUCCUACAAGAACACAAAACGUGUGCAUUUCAGCCUUGAAUACACUAAGUAGCCAAAGCCAGAGGGUAGCAUAAUUUGUGUCAUUCUCUGGAAUAAUGGUAUGGGAAUAAUGAUGCAAGUGGUUUCUUGCAUCAAACAACACAACAACAUUUUCAAUCACCUCCUUGUUUGAAGGACAAGUGGAUAAACAGGUUCAUGUCAAGUCCUACAUGUUUUUUUCAAAAGUCUCAUGGAAUGUAGACUUACAUUGAACACCGCACAUUGGCUGCUACUGUUGGCUGAAUGACAGAACAGCUAUUUCCAUGUUAUAAUGUUAUGGGAUGCAUUUUCUCCAUUGUUUAUUAUGGUAGGCCACUCUGGUAGGCCUACAUUAUGAUCAAAUAGCCACAGUACCCUACUUGACCACUGUUAAAACUAACUUAAAGCAGGAACAACCUGUAAACCUGCACCGGAAGUUGCAAAGAAUUUUCACAGUAUUCAAAUUUGCUCUUAGCAGACCUGAGUUUUAACAAUCAUGCUGGUAGAAUCUACAGUUUACCUACACCAUGGCAACUCUGUAUAUAACCAUUUAUGUUAGGCUUUUAAACAUAGGCUGUUAAAGAGUUAUAUCAUUUGUAAUCAACCACAGUGCUUAAAGGCUGGCAUCCUCAGUAGAUUAUGAAGAAACAAAUGCCUCAAAUCAGAAUGACCUGAGUGCCAAAGUGACUGCCACCGAACACUUAACAGGAAACAGUCCAUCAAAGGACAGUGAAGGUGACAAGCUCCUUAUUGAUCGUCAAGGAAACAGCCCCUUCCAGAGACUGCCAGUUAACUAAUCAUCUCCUGUCGCUGUUUAGACCUGGCAACAGGGAGACAGAGGGAGAGCAUAAGAGAGAAGGCGAGAGAGAGAGAGAAGGAGAAUAUUGUUACAAAAUAAUAGAAAGUCAAAUCAGGAGACACUUCACGAAAUCAUUACAAGGAGCACGAGCAGCAUGUAAACUACAAGAUAACUACAAGGUUAACUAGAAGAUAAUCAAUCAUAAAAAACAAAAAACAUGUCCCCUAUGAAGCUAUGAUGCUAAAUAGCAAGAGAGCUAUUAUAAAUACAGUAGAUGUUGAUACAAUAUGUUUUAGAUAGAUACAGUGGGGCAAAAAAAGUAUUUAGUCAGCCACCAAUUGUGCAAGUUCCCC
ensembl:lncRNA